rnacentral:rRNA from 1 species
AGUCGAACGGCAGCACGGACUUCGGUCUGGUGGCGAGUGGCGAACAGGCGAGUAAUGUAUCGGAACGUGCCUAGUAGCGGGGGAUAACUACGCGAAAGCGUAGCUAAUACACCUUACGCCCUUCGAGGAAAGCGGGGCCUUCGGGCCUCGCACACUGAUAGAAGCGGCCGAUAUCGGAUUAGCUAGUUGGUGGGGUAACGCUCCGCAAGGCGGCGAUCGCUCAGCUGGUUUGAGAGGACGACCAGCCACACUGGGACUGGGACUGGCCCAGACUCCUACGGGAGGCAGCAGUGGGGAAUUUUGGACAAUGGGGGAAACCCUGAUCAGCCUUCCGCGUGUGCGAUGAAGGCCUUCGGGUUGUAAAGCACUUUUGGCAGGGAAAAGCGGCACGGAUAAUACCCCGUGCAACUGACGAAACACCUGCACAGAAUAAGCACCGGCUAACUACGUGCCAGCAGCCAUGAUAAUACGUAGGGUGCAAGCGUUAAUCGGGAGUACUGGGCGUAAAGCGUGCGCAGGCGGUUCGGAAAGAAAAGAUGUGAAAUCCAGAGCAACUUUGGAACUGCGUUUUAACUACCGAGCUAGAGUGUGUCAGAGGGAGGUGGAAUUCCGCGUGUGGCAGUGAAAUGCGUAGAUAUGCGGAGGAACACCGAUAGGCAGCCUCCUGGGAUAACACUGACGCUCAUGCACGAAAGCAGUGGGAGCAAACAGGAUUAAAUACCCUGGUAGUCCACGCCUAAACGAUGUCAACUAGCUGUUGGGGCCUUCCGGGCCUUGGUAGCGCAACUAACGCGUGAAGUUGACCGCCUGGGAGUACGGUCGCAAGAUUAAAACUCAAAGGAAUUGACGGGGACCCGCACAAGCGGUGGAUGAUGUGGAUUAAUUCGAUGCAACGCGAAAAAGCCUUACUACCCAUACGACAGCAUGAAUCCCGAAGAGAUUUAAGGAGUGCUCGCAAGAACCCGAACACAAGGUGCUGCAUAUGGCUGUCGUCAGCUCGUGUCGAGAUAUUGGGUUAAGUCCCGCAGCGAGCGCAACCCUUGUCAUUAGUUGCUACGAAGAGGGCACUCUAAUGAGACUGCCGGUGACAAACCGGAGGAAGGUGAGGAUGACGUCAAGUCCUCAUGGCCCAUAUGGGUAGGGCUUCACACGUCAUACAAUGGUCGGGACAGAGGGUCGCCAACCCGCGAGAGACAAUCCAGAAACCCGAUCGUAGAUCCCGGAUCGCAGUCUGCAGCUCGACUGCGUGAGUCGGAAUCGCUAGUAAUCGCGGAUCAGCGUGUCGCGGUGAAUACGUUCCCGGGUCUUGUACACACCGCCCGUCACACCAUGGGAGUGGGUUUACCAAGUAAUUUAGCCUAACCGUAAGGAGGGCGAUUACCACAGUAAGUUCAUGACUGGGGUGAAGUCAUGGCAAGGUAA